rnacentral:rRNA from 1 species
AUGAGGAAGGCAGUCAGGAAGGUGAAGAAGACUACUACGCGCGGGGCCAAGCAUAUUAGUAAGGACCCGCUCGAACGCCUGCAUUCAAAGUUGUCAACAGGGGGCAACUCAGAUGUACAUGAGGCACCAGGAGACAAUACUGCUGCUGCACCGUUGACCGCUCCCACCAACUCUGAUGCAAGUGGCCGACCAUCUCCGCCGGCUGCAGAUGUGCAGGCCACAACAACAGGCAUCCGUACAUCGGGGAGUGACGAGUCGGUAUCUGCCAGGACAACUGAAAUAUUGCCAACUCUUCUGGCAAUGAAGGAUGCUGCUGUGAGCCAUGCUACCCCAUCAGCAAGUGUUGAAGUGGACGCUCCCGAGACGAACCUAAGCAAGGAAGAUUCCCGCUCAUCUAACACUGAUUCCAAGCGCGUGCGUGGUGGCACUCCUGUGUCCACGACAGAAGCGGCCGAGGCGGCAGUUCACAAGGAUAUGCCAUCUACAGGUGAGAGUCCUGGCACAACAGCUCUAGCUCCUGUCGGUGCAGAUACUGCUAAGGCGACUGUUUCGCGUGCUGGUCUUCCACCUAGGCGUCGUAGCCCCCGCAAGCAACCAACAGACAUACCCAACGCACCGGCUGUAGCUAGGAGCAGGAGAGACGAGUCUGGUUAUGUUGCUGCGUCCACACUGUUCCCGCCACCUGCCAAAAGCAAUGUGAUGGAGAAAUCGGAAGACCGGAGCACAACUGAUGCAGGUGUCAAGCCGGGCACGAGAGACGCUGGUGAAAAACUGGAUCAAACUGCGCCUUUACCCGCAGUGGAAAUCCCCAGCAUAAAUCUACGCACCUCCAGGCUCCCAGUCAAUGUCGGUGUCCCCUACAACCCAAACAAGAAGAUUGUCAUGAAAGCUGCGGCUGAUACCGCUGACAACACGCCCCGCCCUGCAAAUAAGGCCGAUCAUUCUGUAGCGGCCGAUUCAGAUAUGUUUGUCGAUCUUUCACCCUUGGAUUCUGCCCCGCAAGUCGUCCGUGGUCCGGCCAGUAGGAAUGAGAGGCACCCAAUGGCCUUUACCCCAUCGAGCUUCAGCCUUGGCAUCAGUCAAGAUCAAUCGGUGGUGCAAGAUCCUAUGCCAGUUGCCGUUGCUUUCCCAGGAGGCAUGCCCGCAAUGAUGGCGCAGCCAAUGGUCGAGGGCAGGAAGGCUGUCAAGUUCGCAGAGCCGAUUGUGCAAGUCACCCCUGAGGAGAUUUCACCGUCACUUGACGAAGCUUACCGCAGGAUUGAGGAGGCAGCAUUGCAGAGGAGGUCCUCAUGA